UUGUAACACAGGGGGUGCCGGGGCUGUCGCUGACAUUCAAGGUCGUGCACGCCCCGAGCAUUCUCUCAUUCACAUCCAUCACACCCUUUGUGCAUCACCGCGUGGGCUCCCUUCGAUUUAAAAAAAAAAGAGGGGGUGCUUGCGUUUUCACACGUACACACAAUUACAUAGAAUGUUCACACUUGCGAUCACACGCAAAUCAAUA
rnacentral:misc_RNA from 1 species